rnacentral:rRNA from 1 species
CAAAUGACUCUCAGCAACGGAUAUCUUGGCUCUUUGCAACGAUGAAGAACGCAGCGAAAUGCGAUACGUAGUGUGAAUUGCAGAAUUCCGCGAAUCGAGUGCAGUUUUUGAACGCAAGUGCGCCGAGGCUCGUCUGAGGGCAUGCUGCUGAGCGUCGC